GACGAACGCUGGCGGCGUGCCUAAUACAUGCAAGUAGAACGCUGAAGGAGGAGCUUGCUUCUCUGGAUGAGUUGCGAACGGGUGAGUAACGCGUAGGUAACCUGCCUGGUAGCGGGGGAUAACUAUUGGAAACGAUAGCUAAUACCGCAUAAUAGUAGAUGUUGCAUGACAUUUGCUUAAAAGGUGCAAUUGCAUCACUACCAGAUGGACCUGCGUUGUAUUAGCUAGUUGGUGGGGUAACGGCUCACCAAGGCGACGAUACAUAGCCGACCUGAGAGGGUGACGGGCCACCCUGGGGCGGGGGCACGGCCCAAGCUCCUACGGGGGGGGCCGGAGGGGAACUUUGGGGAAUGGAGGGAGUCUGACCGAGGCACCCCGCGUGGGGGGAGGAGGGUUUCGGGUCGUAAAGCUCUGUUGUAAGAGAAGAACGAGUGUGAGAGUGGAAAGUUCACACUGUGACGGUAUCUUACCAGAAAGGGACGGCUAACUACGUG
rnacentral:rRNA from 1 species